rnacentral:ncRNA from 1 species
UGAUGAGGUAGAGGUUGCAGCUGUUAUUAGUACAGACUAGGAGAUCAGGAGAGAUCGUUGAUUAGACUGAAAAGGAACAGCUGCCGAAGCUGGAUGGAUUCUCCAAUCCUACUGGCUGGGCCUGCUCCCGAAUAGGGGCAGGACUGUCACGUCAGUCGCAAAGCUGGCGUGUUGCGCUAUCUUUGUG